rnacentral:misc_RNA from 1 species
GAUGAAGAACGCAGCGAAAUGCGAUAAGUAAUGUGAAUUGCAGAAUUCAGUGAAUCAUCGAAUCUUUGAACGCACAUUGCGCCCGCUAGUAUUCUGGCGGGCAUGCCUGUCCGAGCGUCAUUUCAACCCUCAAGCCCCCGGGCUUGGUGUUGGGGAUCGGCGAGCCUCCGCGCCCGCCGUCCCCUAAAUCUAGUGGCGGUCUCGCUGUAGCUUCCUCUGCGUAGUAGCACACCUCGCACUGGGAAACAGCGCGGCCACGCCGUUAAACCCCCAACUUCUGAACGUUUGACCUCGGAUCAGGUAGGAAUACCCGCUGAACUAAAGCAUAUCAAUAAGCGGAGGA